rnacentral:rRNA from 1 species
UACGGAGGGUGCAAGCGUUAAUCGGAAUUACUGGGCGUAAAGCGCACGUAGGCUGUAGUGUAAGUCAGGGGUGAAAUCCCACGGCUCAACCGUGGAACUGCCUUUGAUACUGCACAACUUGAAUCCGGGAGAGGGUGGCGGAAUUCCAGGUGUAGGAGUGAAAUCCGUAGAUAUCUGGAGGAACAUCAGUGGCGAAGGCGGCCACCUGGACCGGUAUUGACGCUGAGGUGCGAAAGCGUGGGGAG